rnacentral:rRNA from 1 species
GACGAACGCUGGCGGCGUGCUUAACACAUGCCAGUCGAACGGUGAAGGGGCCUGCUUUUGUGGGCCCUGGAUGAGUGGCGAACGGGUGAGUAACACGUGAGUAACCUGCCCCCUUCUUCUGGAUAACCGCAUGAAAGUGUGGCUAAUACGGGAUAUUCUGGGUCUGUCGCAUGAUGGGUCUGGGAAAGAUUGCGCCUUUGGGUGUUUUUGGUGGGGGAUGGGCUCGCGGCCUAUCAGCUUGUUGGUGGGGUGAUGGCCUACCAAGGCGGUGACGGGUAGCCGGCCUGAGAGGGUGGACGGUCACACUGGGACUGAGACACGGCCCAGACUCCUACGGGAGGCAGCAGUGGGGAAUAUUGCACAAUGGGCGCAAGCCUGAUGCAGCGACGCCGCGUGAGGGAUGGAGGCCUUCAGGUUGUAAACCUCUUUCGCCAGUGAAGCAGGCCUGCUCCUUGUGGGUGGGUUGACGGUAGCUGGAUAAGAAGCGCCGGCUAACUACGUG